rnacentral:rRNA from 1 species
CAGUCGCCGCGGUAAAACAGAGGGUGCAAGCGUUAAUCGGAAUUACUGGGCGUAAAGCGCGCGUAGGUGGUUUGUUAAGUUGGAUGUGAAAUCCCCGGGCUCAACCUGGGAACUGCAUCCAAAACUGGCAAGCUAGAGUAUGGUAGAGGGUGGUGGAAUUUCCUGUGUAGCGGUGAAAUGCGUAGAUAUAGGAAGGAACACCAGUGGCGCAGGCGACCACCUGGACUGAUACUGACACUGAGGUGCGAAAGCGUGGGGAGCAAACAGGAUUAGAUACCCCUGUAGUCCCUGUCUCUUAUAA